AACGUAGGAGACGAACGUUAUCCGGAGUUACUGGGCGUAAAGGGCGUGUAGGCGGUAUGCUAAGUCUGGCGUGAAAGCUCUCGGCUAAACCGGGAGAGGUCGUUGGAUACUGGCAAACUAGAGGAUGGUAGAGGCGUGUGGAAUUCCGGGUGUAGUGGUGAAAUGCGUAGAGAUCCGGAGGAACACCAGUGGCGAAGGCGACACGCUGGGCCAUACCUGACGCUAAAGCGCGACAGCAUGGGGAGCAAACGGGAUUAGAUACCCCGUAGUCC
rnacentral:rRNA from 1 species